rnacentral:misc_RNA from 1 species
GAUGAAGAAGGUAGCGAAAUGCGAUAAGUAAUGUGAAUUGCAGAAUUCAGUGAAUCAUCGAAUCUUUGAACGCACAUUGCGCCCGCCAGUAUUCUGGCGGGCAUGCCUGUUCGAGCGUCAUUUCAACCAUCAAGCCCCAGGCUUGUGUUGGGGACCUGCGGCUGCCGCAGGCCCUGAAAACCAGUGGCGGGCUCGCUGUCACACCGGGCGUAGUAGAUUUUAUCUCGCUCAGGGCGUGCUGCGGGUUCCGGCCGUUAAAAAGCCUUUUUUACCCAAGGUUGACCUCGGAUCAGGUAGGAAGACCCGCUGAACUUAAGCAUAUCAAUAAGCGGAGGA